AUGAUGAAGAUGAGGUUAAAACGAAGGUUGAAGAUGGAAGAAAAAAUGAGAAGAAGUGAAGGUGAAAAUCAGAGUUCUUCCCCAAAAAAAUUGGAGAGUUCCCAGCUGGAAGUUUGUUGGAAUCUGUUAGAAGCGGUUAGGAAGUUUGUUUGGAAUUAUGGAAUUCUGUUUGGCAGUUGUACUGUUUACAGGUUGAGUUCCAAGUGGCCAGUAGGAUUUGUGUUGAAGCAGUGUGAAGAUUAUGGUGAAGAGGUAAGGUCAAACUGUGGGAUUUCGUGGAAGACAUAUGAAGAUUAG